rnacentral:rRNA from 1 species
GUGUCCCUACGGGAGGCAGCAGUGAGGAAUAUUGGUCAACGGGCGGAAGCCUGAACCAGCCAAGUCGCGUGAGGGAAUAAGGCCCUACGGGUCGUAAACCUCUUUUGCCGGGGAGCAAGGGCCGGGACGCGUCCCGGCCCGGAGAGUACCCGGAGAAAAAGCAUCGGCUAACUCCGUGCCCGCAGCCGCGGUAAUACGGAGGAUGCGAGCGUUAUCCGGAUUUAUUGGGUUUAAAGGGUGCGUAGGCGGGCUUUUAAGUCAGCGGUAAAAAUUCGGGGCUCAACCCCGUCCGGCCGGUGAAACUG